rnacentral:rRNA from 1 species
CCUACGGGAGGCAGCAGUGGGGAAUAUUGCGCAAUGGGCGAAAGCCUGACGCAGCGACGCAGCGUGAGGGAUGAAGGUCUUCGGAUCGGAAACCUCUGUCAGCAGGGAAGAACGGUCACUGUGCUAAUCAGCAGUGAAUUGACGGUACCUGCAAAGGAAGCACCGGCUAACUCCGUGCCAGCAGCCGCGGGAAUACGGAGGGUGCGAGCGUUAAUCGGAAUUACUGGGCGUAAAGCGCUCGUAGGCGGUAUGUCAAGUCAGGGGUGAAAUCCCCGCGCUCAACGUGGGAACUGCCUUUGAAACUGGCAAACUGGAGUGUGUGAGAGGAUAGUGGAAUUCCAGGUGUAGGGGUGAAAUCCGUAGAUAUCUGGAGGAACAUCAGUGGCGAAGGCGACUAUCUGGCACAUAACUGACGCUGAGGAGCGAAAGCGUGGGUAGCAAACAGGAUUAGAUACCCCUGUAGUC